UUAGACUCAAGGGUAUUACAAGCAUAUAGUUUUUGCUAACACCAUCACACGAGCACUCUUCCGAUCUUUCUCCCUCUCAGAGUUCAGCGCAUACACCAGCACACGAGCACGUCUAGUCUUUAAUCUGAUUGUUUGUUUUUUUAUGUGCCUUCGUCUUUGCAAGUUCUAGCUAGUUUCAGGUUGUGGGUUGCAUAGAAAAAUGGGCGGUAAGCUUAGUAUACUAGAAAACAGGACUUACUACAGCAUAGAACUCAGGAUGUGGGUUCACCCUGCUAGACCUGACAAAUUUGAGAAAAUUAUCAGGAUAAAGCCAGGUGGAUCCAUAAGAGUAAAGGCCAAACAGGGUCUUCUUGAUUUUGACAAAGUAUUAGUAAUGGUGUAUGCAAAUGGAGUUUGGACAGGUAACUACAUCUUUCCACUCCACCUGAUGACCUAUGCGAAAGUCAUCUGCGACAGAAACCAGCACGGUGGUGUCAUUAUUCGAGGCAAAAGAGCAUUCAACUUUUGCAGACUCAAAUGUUUUGCCUUCAUUCCUGCAAAAUAUGUUGGACUGGGAAUGAUCGAAGAGGAGAUAUAAGCAAGGGCCAGCAAGUUUGGCCUGUGGAAGCUCCUGAUAUGUCUGUUUGGAGCUGAUCUUUUCUAUUUUUUGCUGCGUCAACUGCCAAGUGAAGCUGAAAUACCAAUUGUGCACGUCUAACAAAGCAUUUGUCCUUUUUUGAUGUGUUUGGUGAUUGGGUAAUAGGUACUACUAUUGUCAAGCAUUUACGACUGGUUUUAAGGUUUUUUGUUCGUCUUGGCAAACAUUCAGGCGUGUGAGCAUUCUUGCCAUGUAUCCUUGUAAUAUGGUUUCAAAUAAUGGUUUUGAAACUGUUUGGAAAAUCUCUGCUAUAUAUAUGUAUGUCCACAACAGCUAUAUGUCCAUAUGGUAGUUGGUCUGAAA